UACGUAGGGGGCAAGCGUUGUCCGGAUUUAUUGGGCGUAAAGAGCGUGUAGGCGGCCAGGGAGGUCCGUUGUGAAAACUCGAGGCUCAACCUCGAGACGCCGAUGGAAACCCCCUGGCUAGAGUCCGGAAGAGGAGAGUGGAAUUCCUGGUGUAGCGGUGAAAUGCGCAGAUAUCGGGAGGAACACCAAUGGCGAAGGCAGCUCGCUGGGACGUUACUGACGCUGAGACGCGAAAGCGUGGGGAGCAAACAGG
rnacentral:rRNA from 1 species